AUUGAACGCUGGCGGCAUGCCUUACACAUGCAAGUCGAACGGUAACAGGUUAAGCUGACGAGUGGCGAACGGGUGAGUAAUGUAUCGGAACGUGCCCAGUCGUGGGGGAUAACUGCUCGAAAGAGCAGCUAAUACCGCAUACGACCUGAGGGUGAAAGCGGGGGAUCGCAAGACCUCGCGCGAUUGGAGCGGCCGAUAUCAGAUUAGGUAGUUGGUGAGGCAAAGACUCACCAAGACGACGACCUGUAGCUGCUCUGAGAGGACGAGCAGCCAUUCUGGUACUGAGAGACGGCCCAGACUCCUACGGGAGGCAGCAGUAGGGGAUUUUGGACAAUGCGCGCAAGCCUGAUCCAGCCAUCCCGCGUGCGGGAAGAAGGCCUGCGGGUUGUAAACCGCAUUUGUCAGGGAAGAAAAGGUUCUGGCUAAUACCUGGGACUCAUGACGGUACCUGAAGAAUAAGCACCGGCUAACUACAUG
rnacentral:rRNA from 1 species